AUUGUCUGUACUGGUGAGAUGAGUCUCUACCUUCUGAGGAACUUUCAUGCCAUUUAUUUGGUGUGGUUGGAAAUCAGGACAGUUACUUUGAAAAAAUUAGAGUGUUUAAAGCAGGCUAACGUCUGAAUACAUUAGCAUGGAAUAAUGAAAUAGGACGGAUUGAUUCUAUUUCGUUGGUUUCUAGGGUCACCGUAAUGAUUAAUAGGGAUAGUUGGGGGCAUUAGUAUUCAAUUGUCAGAGGUGAAAUUCUUGGAUUUAUUGAAGACUAACUACUGCGAAAGCAUUUGCCAAGGAUGUUUUCAUUAAUCAAGAACGAAAGUUAGGGGAUCGAAGACGAUCAGAUACCGUCGUAGUCUUAACCAUAAACUAUGCCGACUAGGGAACGGACGCAGUUAAUUUUAUAAUGACGUGUUCGGCACCUUACG
rnacentral:rRNA from 1 species